rnacentral:rRNA from 1 species
UAUUACCUACGGGGCGCAGCAGUGGGGAAUAUUGCACAAUGGGGGAAACCCUGAUGCAGCGGCGCCGCGUGAGUGAAGAAGUAUUUCGGUAUGUAAAGCUCUAUCAGCAGGGAAGAAAAAAGACGGUACCUGACUAAGAAGCCCCGGCUAACUACGUGCCAGCAGCCGCGGUAAUACGUAGGGGGCAAGCGUUAUCCGGAUUUACUGGGUGUAAAGGGAGUGUAGACGGUCCUGCAAGCCAGAUGUGAAAGCCCGGGGCUCAACCCCGGGACUGCAUUUGGAACUGUAAGGCUAGAGUGUCGGAG